rnacentral:tRNA from 1 species
UAGCUCAGACGGUAAAGCGUCUGCCUACAAUGCAGGAGACCCGGGUUCAAUCCCUGG